UAGCCCCGCCCCCGGCUCCCCUCCCGUCCCCUCCCAGCCUCCCGCCCGCCGGAGCCGGCCUCUCCCGCCCCUCCCGGCGAGCACGUGGUGCCCCGCGCCGGCCGGGCCACCUCCGCCUGCCUCGGGCACGCAAGCGGCGGGGCAGCGGGUGCGGGCCUGGUGGCCGCGGGCUCUUUCCCGACCGGCCCCCGCGGCUGUCUGACAACCUGUCGACACCGGUUUACAGUUGUCGGACACUGGGGUUUGCUGUUUCGCAGCCGAGGUGUGUCUGCUGUUUCAUAAAAACAUCUCGGCUCCUGCUUUUCCGCGGAAGGGGCUGGCCCGGGCGCGGUGACAGCCAGCCGACGGGGAGCGGCCUCUCUUCGGAAGUUGGAGCUGCCUUUGCUUUCCUGGAAGUCUUUGGCAGAAGUGCACCCAGGUGCCCUCAUGUGCCACUAACCCGGCGUGGCGUGCCAUCCGAUGCGCUCUGGCGUCCCAGGGGCCCCCACUAGGUAUUAAGUCAUAUGGACAUGACCGAUCGUGCUGUACUUGGAGAAGCGGGAAGCGGCCAAACUCUGCAACCUUUCUCUAUUGUGGAAACUUUGCGAAAGGGAACCCUAGCUGAGAAGCCACUUGCUGGGGGAAGCAGAUGCCGUCUAUGGUAGCGGUUUCUUGGGGGCAAGAGACCUUAACAGAGACUGCAUCACAGCAGCGCAAGGGAAACAUUCCAGGUGCCCAACCUGGUAAUGAGAAAAGCCCAAGUGGCCUGGGCACCCCUCCUUUGUGCCUUGGGUGUGCAGGAAGUAAACUUAAGAAGAGCACGCCCGCCUGAGGCGGCUAGGCGACCAGGCCAGGGACAGGACGUCCCUCUCCACCCUCUGCCCUGAGGAAAGAGAGAGCCUAUGAGGCAGGACCCAGCACUGCUGGUUGGCUCCCUGUGGCCAGGGGCCUGGCUGCUCUAGGGCUCAGAUGCCGAGUGCAAGGUUCUCCUGAGCUCCCUCUGCUCAGACAGGUUGGGCAGGCAGCUACUGAGCUUUACUUGCUGGCUUGGUUCCCGUGGCCCAGAUGGGGAGCGUGCCCAGGGUACCAGUCCGGGCUACUGGGCCACUUUGCACCGCAUCUUUCACGCAGCAGUCAGAGCUCCCAGCUUCCGGGGGAACCUGCAGGAAUUUCAUUCACUGGACUCUGGAGUUGUACUCCGUUUGUGCCGUUUGGAGCUGUGGGAUUGAGGCUGACGUCUGGGCUUGGUCCCCAGCAUGCUCUGUUGCAGGUGACCUGGGCCACCCAGACCCUGGACACCAACUGCUGGGAUCGUGGAAGCGCAGGCACUCUGGCAGCAUUGGGAUGGCUCCCGUUUCUCCAUUUGGGGCCUGAGGACAGACACAGAGCCACUGCCCAUAAUAGUAAUGUCAUCACCAGCUCUGUAAUGAGGCUGUAAUUUCUCUGCUCAGAGUCAGGCUUUAUUCUUCUUCAUGCUGCUGCCCCCAUCUUCGCCCCAGGAGCCCCAGCUCUCUCCAGAAAUACCCUGCAACUGCCUGGGCUCCUUUCCUGCUGUGACAGAUUCUGGAGGCAGGGGUAGGCACUUGGCACUCCUGCUCUGGGAAGUCCCUAACCACAGCUCUCUCCUAUUCCCCAGCCCACCUCCAGGCACCCCAACCCCUUCUCCCCAGCAUCCAAAACAAACCAAAGGGCCAGCUCCACCUCUGUUCCCUUUAGCAAGCUCCAGUGUCACAUUUCAGGGCAACAGGUAAACACCGGUGAGAUAAGCCCUCUUGUGUGACCAGGAGAAUGAGGUGGAAUGUAAACCAGUGUCAGGAUCCAGCCACAGGAUUGAUCAUCUCCUUCCCACCUUACCCCCAAAAGUCCACCUUGACAUCCGGCACCCGGUAGCUAUCAGAACGUGGAGGAGGAGGGGCCAUCAGAGGAAGCUUUGUCCUGACCCUCACCAGCCCAGCAAUGCCUCCCCACCAUGCUCUGCAUGUAUUACCUCCAUUCAGGUCAUGAAAUGAUUGUAGGUUCCUGGAGACACCUGGGAGGUGAGUGGGGAAAACCCCUCUGGAAACCAGCUUGAGGAUUAGCCAGUUACAGAGGAAAUUAGAAAUAGAAAGGACUGGACUUGCCCCAAGGGAGCCAUGGAAAUGUGUCAGAGCAGCAAAUGUGGCCAUCCGCCCAAAGCUAUGGGCUGGGAUCCUAGCAGACCCUGGUGACUUAGAUCACCUCUUCCCUUCUUUCUCUUUGGCCCUUUUUCAGAAAACUUCCACAAAGAGGACUAGGAAGUUGUAAGAAAACUGCCUCCAAAGCAUCCUAUUGGAGAGGGGGAGGGGCAGAGAAGGACUGAGAACUUGGUGGCUCAGCUUUGCCAAGGACAUGUCCUCCAGAAACUCCAACGACCUAGGUCUGAAGAAGAGGAGACAGCUCAAGGGGGGCCGCCCACUCCCUGUAGCUACCGCGGGGACCUGCCUUUAACACCGAGAACAGCAACGCAGACCCUCCUGGGUGCAGCGGGCAGCACUGUGGCCUCCGACGCCUGCCGUUCAAAUGGCCGUUCUUUGCUGUGCGGAUGGCCGGCCGGGCCCCUUGACUGGCCCGGGCCUCCAGACGCCGCCAGGCCCUCCGCCCCAACGUGAGCGAUUUAUGACUCUUGUUAAAUACUCAUUAGGACUUUGCACCUUUCUCCUGCAGGACCCAGGAAGCCACGGGCUCAGCAACAGCGAGGCGAGUGCCAAACAGUCAGCAAUGACCUGCAAGGAGCACGCAGCUGUAACCCAGGUGCCCAGAGGGUCGGCUGGAUGCAAUGAUCCGAUGGCCCUCUCAGCCCAACCCCUGGGUGCCCAGACAGUGUUCUCCUGCCACGCCAAGCUGGGGGCGGGGGUUGGGGGUGAGGGGAGGCGUGUCCAUGACGCCUCUGGAGCAUCCUGACCUAGAGUAGCGCCUUGAACUUGCAACACUGUGGAGACCCUCCCGCUUCCAGACGGGCAUGCCUCGGAGGGAAGAGUCAAGUGGGGCCGGCGGGAGGAGAUGCUGACAGACUCCAGGAAAACACGAAAAGGAAAAAGGCCCAGAGCGAAGGACACGGAUGGUCAGACUCUCGGAGCAGUGCUUCAAUAGAGUGGGGCUUGGCUCCCCGGAAGGCAGAAGGCAGGCGUGCCGGCGCGCGAAGUGUGCCUGGGAGCCUGGAGAUUCCCCAACCCACGGGAGUUUCCCACCAUUGCAAGGCAGAGAAAGGGACGCAGUGGCCCGGCCUGCAGUGCCCCGGUGAGUGUCAGAGGAAGUGAAUUACAUACGUGUGCGCACGUAAAUAUUUUAUAAACCUCCCCAUAAUUAACCAGAUCAUUUCCAUUGUGCCUCCAAUAUGAUCAACUGCGACAAUGUGAGGGUUUUCGGGGUUUAUAAUUUGAUGUCACCAGACGGUUGCUCCAGGCAGAGGUACCAUCGCUGCACCAGCUGCACUCGUGUUUAUUUGUUUUUCUCCGGUGUUCCUGUAGGGCUCCAUUAUGCAGUGUUUAAUUAGUUUGCGUUUGUAUUUCACCCUUCCCAAAUCAAUGCCAUCCCGGAGCAAGGCGUUGUAAAUGCUGGCAGUACAGGUGUACUGCCUCCUCCGCAGCACUAGGAAACGCGUGUCUGACAAAUGAAAGCGGGGCUCUCUGUCAGCUCUCUGUAGCUGGGACUCCAAGAUCAAAGCCAGUGGGGACUUCUGUGCCCCCUGAGCACAGUCCUGGCUGUGGCUCCGGAUGCCAUUGGAGGGAGCCUGGCCACCUGCAUGGGAGAAAACUGACUUCAUUUUGUUCAAGUCCUGGGGUCUUUGGGCCAGCAUUGGUCUCCAGCGCUUUGAGCUUGGGGCCUCCUGGGCAUGGGCUGAAUAUGUGCAGGGCUCCCACCUGGAUGCCGGGUUGUGGACAAGCAUGCAGAUAACCUAGCACCGGACGAGGGCCCUUGUGAGUGACUUCCUGCCUGAUUCCAAAAGUCCUUUCAAUGGAACCCAGAGCAUACAGCUCAAACUUCUGGAAUCUCCAGACAGGAGGACCCCUUCCCCCACCACCUCUCAGGGAGGUAUUGGCAUCUAUAUCUUUUUGAAAUGACCUCUGGGGGCGGGGGUGGGGUGGGGUGGGGGGGUGAGGGGUGUAAAUCUAUCCUUCCAGCCACCAGGGAAUUCUUUUACUUUCUUUUUUUCUUUUUGUCAGGAAUAAGAGAUCGUUCAUCUUUAACUAGACUGCAUAGAAAUUAUGAUUCAACAGCAGUGUAUAUUUAAUUAAAGUAAUCUCACUUGAAUUUAAUUACCUAAUGAAUUAUUUGUUUAAAAGGUAGAAUGUCUUGUUUGCCAAGAACCAUGCAGACCUCUGAUAAGAACUUGUGUUUUAAGAACAGUACUUUUAAGUGUAGGCAUGUAUUAAGGUUUAUAUUUUAACUCUUUGAGUAUGUAAUUGCCACUGUACAACUAAAAAAAAAUACUAUGUUUGUUAUGUGCACAUGUUUCUUUUAGAAAUUAAUAACUUCUAACUUUGUCGUGUAAGUCUAGUUUAUUUUUAAACUUAUUUCAUUUUGCUUUCAGCAGCAUAUUUUUUUUCUAGUGCAAGAUGACAGCUGUCUAUUUGAAGACUUAUUUAAUGAUUAGUGUUUGCACUGAAGUGGGGCACCCUUCAGGAAAACUCUAACCCAGCUCAUCUGGAUCCCUGAGGCAUCCACACUGGCAGCAGGAAGACAUUCAUUGUUAUCAAACUUAUGGAAAUAGAGGCUACCAUGGCCCAGACUUUGACCUUAACCUUUAAUUUCUAAACUGUGGAAGAAUUUUUACCUCCUCUUGUUUUCAGUAAGCAAGAACAAAUAAUCCCAAGCCAUGCCCUCCUUUCUGAGAAGCUCUGAAAUUGAAUGUCUGGGUAACCCCAACAAUUGGUGCAGCUAAUGCAAAGUUUAUAACCGGACUCCUUAAGUGGGGAGUGUGACCUGCUGGAAAUCUAACAGGAUUUCUGUAUUUUCUGUGGUCCUGUUGCUGCAGAUGCAGACUGCUUCAUUUCCUCCUCUAUCCCAGGUGAUGGACAGGCUCUUCUACCCCUGCAUGAUGGAAUUUCAGCGGAGAAAUGCAUGAUGGGGGGGCCGGGGGGGGGCAGAGAGGGUUUUACCCUCUCACUGAGUUGAGAAUAGGAGAUAAGAACACCUCAAAUCCACUUGGUCAAAUUUUACUGUCAUUUUCAUUAAUAUUUCAUUAAUCAAAUCAUUUACUUUAAUUGGGAGCUUGGUCACCAUUGUCCCAUAAAUGUUAAAUACUAUUAAUGUGGUGUUCACCUAAGUAGGAAUGGGAUAAAAUAAAAAUGCAACACUGAUAAGAA